CCUACGGGAGGCAGCAGUGCGGAAUAUUGGUCAAUGGACGAGAGCCUGAACCAGCCAAGUAGCGUGAAGGAUGACUGCCCUAUGGGUUGUAAACUUCUUUUAUAUGGGAAUAAGAUGGUCCACGUGUGGGAUUACGUAUGUACCAUAUGAAUAAGGAACGGCUAACGUCGUGCCAGCAGCCGCGGUAAUACGGAGGAUCCAAGCGUUAUCCGGAUUUAUUGGGUUUAAAGGGAGCGUAGGUGGAUUGUUAAGUCAGUUGUGAAGGUUUGCGGCUCAACCGUAGAAUUGCAGUUGAAACUGGCAGUCUUGAGUACAGUAGAGGUAGGUGGAAUUCCUUGUGUAGCGGUGAAAUGCGUAGAUAUUACGAAGAACACCAGUUGCGAAGGCAGCUCACUGGACUGUAACUGACGCUGAGGCUCGAAAGCGUGGGUAGCAAACAGGAUUAGAUACCCGUGUAGUC
rnacentral:rRNA from 1 species